rnacentral:misc_RNA from 1 species
UAAGUGUUCAACACGCGACGUUACUGCUAAUGGUCACCGUGUUUUUUUCAAUGGCGGAGCGAGUGAUGGAACGGAAUGAGUGACACGUCGCGUAAAGUGAAAAACCCGCUGCUCUCCGCCGCGGCAGUGGGUUUUCCCUUCGAGGACUUUUCGGGGAAUGCUGUGUUAAUGCCUGUAACGCCUGCGACCUCGUCGGUGCUUCAAGAUGAAGGUGAAAUAGCUAGCUUCGUAGGGCAGCAGCCUCCACCUCCGCCGUCAUCCUACCCUGCUGAAUUCAACGUCGGAUCAGCUGCUCGCCUUGACCACCAACAGCAGUAUCAGAAUCAACAGAGCGCGCCUGCCACCGCGGAAAUUAAUCUAUCGCCUAUUAACGAGCCUGGAGAUUCAACAGCCAGUGAAUCCGCCAUUCAACCCCAGAAGCAGGGCUAUCUAUCGUCGCUUCUUUCGUCGCUGCCAAACCUUUCCUUGGCUUCUAUCACCGGCGAUAACAGAGAAGACUCCACUGCCCGCAUCUCCGCUGUUCCCGAUUACAAUUCGUAUCCCUCUAACUAUCCGCCAAGUAGCUAUUCCACUCCCCCGUACCAAUCCGGCAACGUUGGGCCAUCGCCUGGGCGGCAAGAAAAUCCUUACGAACUUGGAGCAACCACUGCAAGCUGGUAUCAACCGAAUAAUUCUGCUGCUCCAGCAGCUGCAGCUCCGCUGUUUACACCUCCGGCAUCUCAGCCUCCCCCCGCUGCUCUGCCCCCGACAGGAGCUCCGUCUUCGUCUUACAGACUCGGCAACCAGCGGCGACUCAAGUAUGCGCCUCCUCCCGAUCUGACGACUUCCAGUCCUCGGGUCAGCGGUCUAUCUCCACCCGCCCCGUUGGUCCCGCAGCCGGCGUUUUCGCCUGCAGCCCCGCCGACGGUGUAUCAGCCUCAGCUUGCGCCAAGUCAAAUUCCGCCUCUAGCGCAGAGGCCUGAGUCCCAAAACGCGUUCCCGAGUGAGCAGAGAACUCUUUCACAGAGCAUAAAGCCGCCGAUCUCCGAGCCAGCAACGCCGCAAAACACCCCGGCGAAUCCGACGCCCUUGUCGACCUUUGCGCCUCCGACUCCGGGCCGCGACUGGGGCCCAGGGGUUGACGAAACUCGGCAAGACAGCGAGGAUGAUGCGCUGCGUGACGUAGACCUUCGCGAGCCCUCACCCUCGGCGUCGCUUCCGGUCCCGUCGGCGCCGGAAGUCGGUUUCACCCCGGAAAACAAUCUUCCGUCUUCGUCCUCGUCACCGUUUGCCCCGAUCUCGGCGGCGCGGGUCUCCGAGAAACUUGAACAUCUUCUGGCCACCAGGAAGGAGCUUUCGCCGAAGGUCACCGAACGGGAGUCCCUCGAUUUUGGGGGCGAAAAGCUCGAUUCCACCCUUGUCUCAUCCACCGCGGCAUACUUCGCACCGACCCUCGAUCGGCCCGCGUCGAAUUCCAAUUUUUACGACCCGACCAAGUUCCAGGCGGAGAUCCAGCCACUUGCCGGGACUCCGGCGCCCCCGUCCACGACAUCGACGCUGCCACAACCCAGCGCGGUUCCGAGCUUUUACAACCCUUCGCAGUUCUCCACUCCGGCGGAUCCUCAGCCUCAGCUACAGACGCAGUCUCUUUCGGUGCUGGAAAGUUUCGCCCCUGUUUACAAUCCGCAGAGCUACUUCUACCCUCCGGCCUCGAACGCAGCUUUGCCUGACGAUCCUCUCGGAAGCGGAAACAGCCACGAAAACCCGGCGUCUUAUUUCACCCCUCCGUCUCCGCCUAUGGGAGUCGCCGUUCCUGAACCCACUGGAUCCGCCACUCUUGAUCCCAUUCAGAUGUCAGUUAAUCCCCUUGGGAGUUCUGGACACGCGAAUACCUUUGACAGUGGACUGCCAAAUCUACCUCCGAGUCUACAUAAUUUGGCCGCAGGCACCUCGGCACCGAGACAGAUGACGUACCGGCCGGUUUACCAGCACUGGUUCCACCGCAAGGAGGUGGAGACCAAGGUGCUCUGGCUGCCGUUCUCAAUGCAGGACAGUCUGAACCUGGAGCAGGUUCACAACUCGACUGAAAUCACUCCCGAGACCACCGUCGCCACCGAGGGCGGGCGGUACGACGUCGACAUCCUCAGGCGACUUAGGACCCCUGUAUACUGGUCCGGGGCCCCGAACGAGGUCCGGAGGUGCUCCUGGUUCUACAAAGGACCCACCGAGUCCCGGUACGUUCCCUACGAGGAGAGCGUCGCCGCCAGACUUGAGGAGGAGUACCAGCAGGCCUGCAACACGGAUGCAUGGGGUAGGCGAAUCGAAUUGAACAACGGGGAGCACAUCAUCUUUCACAGCCCCACUGUCCAGGUCCAUUAUCUACAGCCUGGAUCCCCGGAGCCGACUACGUCCUGGGGGAGCAAUAGCGGUUCAGAGGACAGUGCGUAUUUGCAGGGCACGACGCUGCGGCCGCGCGUCGUUAAACGAGGAGUCGACGAAUUCAACAUCGACGAGGGUGAGCCUGAGCAGGUCGACCACCUUCUCUUCCUCGUACACGGCAUCGGAAGCGUUUGCGAUCUCAAGUUCAGAAGCGUCGAAGAAGUUGUCGACGAAUUUCGCAGCAUAUCUCUACAGUUGGUUCAAUCCCACUACCGUACAGCGAGUGAGCAGGGAAUAGUGCACAAAAUGGAGGUGUUGCCGAUAUCCUGGCACACAACGCUGCACUCCGAGGACACCGGGAUCGACAAGAAGCUGCAAGCAAUAACGCUCGACAGCAUACCGAAGCUGAGGUACUUCACGAAUGACACUCUGUCCGACAUACUCUUUUAUACCAGCCCGAUAUACUGCCAAACGAUUAUGCAAACCGUCGGUCACGAGAUGAAUCGGCUCUAUGCGCUGUUCAAGAAGCGGAAUCCUACCUUCGAUGGCGGAGUCUAUCUCGGUGGUCAUUCCCUGGGGAGUCUGAUAUUGUUCGAUCUCUUGUGUCACCAGAAACCACCGAAGAACGAGGAGGAAGACACGAUCAAGGAGAAGCUUGAGGAGGAGAAGGAACCCGGCGACGAGGCGGUCAAGGAUGACGACGUAGUCAACACGGUGAAAGAGCCGAAAGUGAAGCCUCGGAAGAGUAUGCUCAGCCGGAAAAUCAGCUACGUAAUGGGCUCGGCUGGCACCGGUCAACCCUACAUCAAUUAUCCUCAGCUCCACUUUCAUCCCAGCGCCUUCUUCGCCCUUGGAAGUCCAAUCGGGAUGUUCGUAACUGUUCGUGGCAUUGACACCCUCGGUGAAGACUUCGCUCUUCCCACCUGCCCCGCUUUCUUUAAUAUCUUUCACCCCUUCGAUCCCGUCGCCUAUCGAAUCGAGGCUCUCAUUCAUCCGGACGCGAGCAAGUUUCGCCCAAAGCUCAUUCCCCAUCACAAAGGAAGAAAGCGGAUGCAUCUCGAAUUGAAGGAAACGAUGGCUCGCGUUGGGGCGGAUCUGAAGCACAAGCUCCUCGACUCGGUGAGAAGUACUUGGAACUCGGUUUAUCAGCUGGCCAUGUUCCACAGAUCGGACAACCAGGCGUUGGAGCAGGAAAUUGACAAGGUGGUCGAGGAACAAUUGAACAACGCGUCAAGCGAGCCCGUGAACAGCCAAGUCGAGGACUCCGGCGAUGACAUCAAGAUCGGGAAAUUGAACGGCGGUAGAAGGGUGGAUUAUGUUUUGCAAGAAGCCCCGUUCGAGUACAUAAACGAAUACAUAUUCGCACUCACGAGUCACGUGUGUUAUUGGGAAUCGGAGGACACGAUGCUGAUGAUGCUGAAGGAGAUAUACGGUUCGAUGGGAAUUCAAAGCGACGCACAGCUGCCUCAGCAAACAUUGACAAUAGAGAGAGCACCGCUGUCGACGGUUGUUAUGCCGCGAGCAAAUCAGCCCGCCUACACGAGCAAUCCCGGCACGUCAGCCGUCGCUGAGUCUAGUUUCGACGGUAAAAGUACACCGGUUGUAAUGGGAAUGGAUCCGACAGCUCCGAUAAGCGAGAGGCCUGUGGGACCUCCACCCACUACCGGAUUCCUUCGAAAGUCGUGAUCCGAUACCUUUGCCGCCAAACACCGUGAUCAAAUACUCGCUCAACUAGUUUGACGCUCCGAUUGUUUCACGAACACGUAGAACGAGAAGUUUCCUAUCGCUGAGCUAUUCGCCACAUCGUCUUCACCAUGUAUAAACUUUUUAUUUCUUUCAAAUAUGUUCUCAUUCUACUAAUGUUUCUUUUUUUCUCUCAAGUGGUUUCAAAAUAUGUAUAUAUUGAAUAACAUAAUCAAAAAACUA